GUGCUUGUUGUGCAGCACAUAUGCUAAGGUUGGAAUAAUAUAAAUAACAUUAGCAUGGGCCCUGUGCAAGGGUAACACACAGUCACCAAAUGUUCCCUAUUUUU
ensembl:snRNA U6 U6 spliceosomal RNA